rnacentral:rRNA from 1 species
UACAGGGGGUGCAAACGUUGCUCGGAAUUAUUGGGCGUAAAGCGCGCGUAGGCGGCUACUUAAGUCGGAUGUGAAAGCCCCUGGCUCAACCGGGGAAGUGCACUCGAAACUGCUUGGCUUGAGUACUGGAGAGGGAAGCGGAAUUCUCGGUGUAGAGGUGAAAUGCGCAGAUAUCAGGAGGAACACCAAUUGCGAAGGCAGCUCGCUGGGACGUUACUGACGCUGAGACGCGAAAGCGUGGGGAGCAAACAGG